rnacentral:rRNA from 1 species
AAAGGAAUUGACGGGGACCCGCACAAGCGGUGGAUUAUGUGGAUUAAUUCGAUGCAACGCGAAAAACCUUACCUACCUUUGACAUGCUUGGAAUUCUUUGGAGACAGAGAAGUGCCCGUAAGGGAGCCAAGACACAGGUGCUGCAUGGCUGUCGUCAGCUCGUGUCGUGAGAUGUUGGGUUAAGUCCCGCAACGAGCGCAACCCUUGUCAUUAAUUGCUAUCAUUUUUAAUGAGCACUUUAAUGAGACUGCCGGUGACAAACCGGAGGAAGGUGGGGAUGACGUCAAGUCCUCAUGGCCCUUAUGGGUAGGGCUUCACACGUAAUACAAUGGCGUGUACAGAGGGUUGCUAACCCGCGAGGGGGUGCCAAUCUCAGAAAGCACGUCGUAGUCCGGAUCGGAGUCUGCAACUCGACUCCGUGAAGUCGGAAUCGCUAGUAAUCGCGGAUCAGAAUGUCGCGGUGAAUACGUUCCCGGGUCUUGUACACACCGCCCGU